AGUGAACGCUGGCGGUAGGCCCAACACAUGCAAGUCGAACGGCAGCACAGUAAGAGCUUGCUCUUACGGGUGGCGAGUGGCGGGCGGGUGAGGAAUACAUCGGAAUCUACUUUUUCGUGGGGGAUAGCGUAGGGAAACUUACGCUAAUACCGCAUACGACCUACGGGUGAAAGCAGGGGAUCUUCGGACCUUGCGCGAUUGAAUGAGCCGAUGUCGGAUUAGCUAGUUGGCGGGGUAAAGGCCCACCAAGGCGACGAUCCGUAGCUGGUCUGAGAGGAUGAUCAGCCACACUGGAACUGAGACACGGUCCAGACUCCUACGGGAGGCAGCAGUGGGGAAUAUUGGACAAUGGGCGCAAGCCUGAUCCAGCCAUACCGCGUGGGUGAAGAAGGCCUUCGGGUUGUAAAGCCCUUUUGUUGGGAAAGAAAAGCAGCAGGUUAAUACCCCGCUGUUCUGACGGUACCCAAAGAAUAAGCACCGGCUAACUUCGUG
rnacentral:rRNA from 1 species